rfam:Aedes albopictus isolate Foshan contig41884, whole genome shotgun sequence.
UGUUAUGUGGCUUAGUUGGUUAAAGUGCCGGACUAACAAUACGGAGUCGUGUACUAGAAUCCCAUCAAACCAA